CAAUAAUGGCGGCGCCCAGUGGACGCUAUUAGAUUUUCCAAGUUUCUAGUUCUGAUGUCGGAAGACGUUUGCUGCUCACCGACAAAAAUCAGGCCAAAAAUGGCUAUGCCCAAUGGCCAUUAAAGAAGAAUCAAGGGGCAACCGAUGUGGCCGAG